rnacentral:rRNA from 1 species
AGGGAAUAUUGGUCAAUGGGUGAGAGCCUGAACCAGCCAUGCCGCGUGCAGGAAGAAGGCCUUCUGGGUUGUAAACUGCUUUUGCCAGGGGCCAAAAAGCUCAUGCGUGGGAAAUUGAAAGUACCUGGUGAAUAAGCCACGGCCAACUACGUGCCAGCAGCCGCGGUAAUACGUAGGUGGCGAGCGUUGUCCGGAUUUAUUGGGUUUAAAGGGUGCGUAGGCGGCCCUGUAAGUCAGUGCUGAAAUAUCCCGGCUUAACUGGGAGGGUGGCAUUGAUACUGCGGGGCUAGAGUACAGAUGAGGUAGGCGGAAUUGACGGUGUAGCGGUGAAAUGCUUAGAUAUCGUCAAGAACACCUAUAGCGAAGGCAGCUUACUAGGCUGUAACUGACGCUGAGGCACGAAAGUGUGGGGAUCAAA